AGCGGCGAGCGAAGCGGGAAGAGCUCAAAUUUAUAAUCUGGCACCUUCGGUGUCCGAGUUGUAAUCUCUAGAAGUGUUUUCCGCGUUGGACCGCACACAAGUCUGUUGGAAUACAGCGGCAUAGUGGUGAAACCCCCGUAUAUGGUGCGGACGCCCAGCGCUUUGUGAUACACUUUCAAUGAGUCGAGUUGUUUGGGAAUGCAGCUCAAAUUGGGUGGUAAAUUCCAUCUAAAGCUAAAUAUUGGCGAGAGACCGAUAGCGAACAAGUACCGUGAGGGAAAGAUGAAAAGCACUUUGGAAAGAGAGUUAACAGUACGUGAAAUUGUUGGAAGGGAAACGCUUGAAGUCAGACUUGCUUGCCGGAGCUUGCUUCGGUUUGCAGGCCAGCAUCAGUUUUCCGGGGUGGAUAAUGACGGUUUGAAGGUAGCAGUCUCGGCUGUGUUAUAGCUUUCCGUUGGAUACAUCCUGGGGGACUGAGGAACGCAGCGUGCUUUUUGCGAAAGACUCGUCUUUUUCACGCUUAGGAUGCUGGUGGAAUGGCUUUAAACGACCCGUCUUGAAACACGGACCA
rnacentral:rRNA from 1 species